rnacentral:rRNA from 1 species
GAUGAACGCUGGCGGCGUGCCUAAUACAUGCAAGUCGAGCGAACAGACGAGGAGCUUGCUCCUCUGACGUUAGCGGCGGACGGGUGAGUAACACGUGGAUAACCUACCUAUAAGACUGGGAUAACUUCGGGAAACCGGAGCUAAUACCGGAUAAUAUAUUGAACCGCAUGGUUCAAUAGUGAAAGACGGUUUUGCUGUCACUUAUAGAUGGAUCCGCGCCGCAUUAGCUAGUUGGUAAGGUAACGGCUUACCAAGGCAACGAUGCGUAGCCGACCUGAGAGGGUGACCGGCCACACUGGAACUGAGACACGGUCCAGACUCCUACGGGAGGCAGCAGUAGGGAAUCUUCCGCAAUGGGCGAAAGCCUGACGGAGCAACGCCGCGUGAGUGAUGAAGUUCUUCGGAUCGUAAAACUCUGUUAUUAGGGAAGAACAAAUGUGUAAGUAACUAUGCACGUCUUGACGGUACCUAAUCAGAAAGCCACGGCUAACUACGUG